GGGGGAGCUAUCAAAGACAGUGAUGAAUACUUCUAGCUGUUCAGUAACACCAUGUCGAACUUUAGCAAAAAGCCUUUUGAAGAGUAACCGUCAGGAUGUAUUGCUUUGUGGAGUUUAUGCACGACGGGAAGCAGUUUUUGGAAAUAUUGACCAUGCUAGAAAGAUUUUCGACAUGGCAUUGUCUUCUAUUGAUGGACUUCCACAGGGUGUUCAGACAA
rnacentral:misc_RNA from 1 species